GAUGAACGCUGGCGGCGUGCCUAAUACAUGCAAGUCGAGCGAACGGACGAGAAGCUUGCUUCUCUGAUGUUAGCGGCGGACGGGUGAGUAACACGUGGAUAACCUACCUAUAAUACUGGGAUAACUUCGGGAAACCGUAGCUAAUACCGGAUAAUAUUUUGAACCGCAUGGUUCAAAAGUGAAUGACGGUCUUGCUGUCACUUAUAGAUGGAUCCGCGCUGCAUUAGCUAGUUGGUAAGGUAACGGCUUACCAAGGCAACGAUGCAUAGCCGACCUGAGAGGGUGAUCGGCCACACUGGAACUGAGACACGGUCCAGACUCCUACGGGAGGCAGCAGUAGGGAAUCUUCCGCAAUGGGCGAAAGCCUGACGGAGCAACGCCGCGUGAGUGAUGAAGGUCUUCGGAUCGUAAAACUCUGUUAUUAGGGAAGAACAUAUGUGUAAGUAACUGUGCACAUCUUGACGGUACCUAAUCAGAAAGCCACGGCUAACUACGUG
rnacentral:rRNA from 1 species